rnacentral:tRNA from 1 species
GCCUGGGUGGCUCAGUUGUUAAGCAUCUGACUUAAGCUCAGGUCACGAUCUUGCGGUUCAUGGGUUCGAGCCCCUUGUUGGGCU